GCCCACACAGGUUGUGGAGAUCUGCUGGGAACUUUUAAGGAAUUUCCAUCCUCGGAAGUUUUCAAAACUUGUCUGUACAAAGCCCUGAGCAAUCAUAACUUCAAAAUUAACCGUGCUUCAAGCAGGAAGCUGGACUAGCUGAUCUUCAGAAGCCCCUUCCAUUCCAAUUUUUUCUAGGAUUUUUGGAUGUUUCAACUCAUAACUAGAAGAAAAGAAGGCAGACCAAGCUGUCUGCAUAAACACACUCUGCAGGUCUUAACUACCUACUAAAAUACCACUGCGCACCAAGUUAACCUUUGCCAAAAGCAAAGCAUUUUUAUUUGCAACAAUGACUUGACUCCACCCUCCUGCUGAGUCCUGUCCUUUACUUCGCAGGUCCUCCUGCUGACUUCUGUGGGAGACAACAUGUUAUUCUGCAUGUGACAAAGACUGAUCCCCGCCUCUUUUCCCCACUGUCAUGCAUUCACAAUGUGGAUAAACACCACUUCCUGCCGAUCAGUCCAGCGACAAGGUAAAAGACAGGGGAAUAUAUAGCAUUCCCAGUACAAGAUGUGCAAUAAAUAGCUGAAUCUGGAAGUAAGGUCACAUUUGGAAGUCACCGAGAGAUGACUGUGCUCAAGUUACAAUCGAGUUAUGACGAAUGUUAAAGAGCUAACAGACCAGAACAAGUUUCUCAGCCCACUGCACAGCGAGCAGCAGGUUCACAGUUACCAUGUUUUACCUCACAAGUGCUGCUGGACUAAGAGCUGGGCGACAGGCGGAUGCUGCCCCAUGGCUCUUCUAAGCUGAUCUACAUGAAGGCCUUCAGUCAGCAGAAAAGUAACUCAGUAAAACAAGACCGGUUUAUGGGAACAGACUCUACUUUUUGUUUUCUGCUGGCAAAAAAAAAAGCAGCAUUAAAAGCAAAUGAGCACCAUCACGCAUUUGUUUUAAAUUGCGUAUUACAGCACUGCUAUUUUGUGUGCAAUCAAUACAUAAUUCGGAAGAAAAAUGCUUUUAAAAUUCAAAGCUAUCCCUGAGCAGCUAAGGUUCUCUUGGAAACUGAAGGAGGAGUCUGAAAUUAUUGUUCUUUUGUUUGCAACCCCCAGCGGGAAAGGCAGCACACAACUAGAAACCACUGUGCUUUGAGGCAGCAUGAAUCAGUAAGAAUAAAGAUCACCCCCCCUUCA
rnacentral:lncRNA from 1 species